rnacentral:tRNA from 1 species
GCCAAGAUAGCCAAGGUGGUCAAGGCGCCUGUCUGAAGAACAGGUUAUCCGGGUUCGACUCCUGGUCUUGGCA